GCUUCCAUGGUGAAAUGGUAUCAUACUUGCCUUCCAAGCAAGUGGCUCGGGUUCGAUUCCCGAUGGAUGCA